UGUUCAGUAACUCCUAUCCCUACCUCCCCGUGGUGCCGCCUGGGGUACGAGUAACGAGUAGGGAAGAUCGGGUAAGCAACCCGAAGGGAAGGG
rnacentral:ribozyme from 1 species